rnacentral:rRNA from 1 species
CCUACGGGAGGCAGCAGUGGGGAAUUUUGGACAAUGGGGGCAACCCUGAUCCAGCCAUUCCGCGUGAGUGAAGAAGGCCUUCGGGUUGUAAAGCUCUUUCGCAAGGGAAGAAAACUUAUGAUCGAAUAAAUCAUGAGGUUGACGGUACCUUGAUAAGAAGCACCGGCUAACUACGUGCCAGCAGCCGCGGUAAUACGUAGGGUGCGAGCGUUAAUCGGAAUUACUGGGCGUAAAGCGUGCGAAGGCGGUUUUGUAAGUCGGAUGUGAAAUCCCCGGGCUCAACCUGGGAACUGCGUUCGAAACUGCAAGGCUAGAGUGUGUCAGAGGGGGGUAGAAUUCCACGUGUAGCAGUGAAAUGCGUAGAGAUGUGGAGGAAUACCAAUGGCGAAGGCAGCCCCCUGGGAUAACACUGACGCUCAUGCACGAAAGCGUGGGGAGCAAACAGGAUUAGAUACCCUGGUAGUCCACGCCCUAAACGAUGUCAACUAGUUGUUGGUAGAGUAAAAUCUAUGAGUAACGUAGCUAACGCGUGAAGUUGACCGCCUGGGGAGUACGGUCGCAAGAUUAAAACUCAAAUGAAUUGACGG